rnacentral:rRNA from 1 species
AGAAUCAACGCUGGCGGCGUGCCUCAGACAUGCAAGUCGAACGCGAAAGCCCCCUUCGGGGGGCAAGUAGAGUGGCGCACGGGUGAGUAACACGUAGGUAAUCUACCUUCGGAUGGGGAAUAACAAUCGGAAACGAUUGCUAAUACCGCAUAAUGCAGCGGCACCUAAUGGUGACAGUUGUUAAAGCGGGGAUCGAAAGACCUCGCGUCUGAAGAGGAGCCUGCGGCGGAUUAGCUAGUUGGUAAGGUAACGGCUUACCAAGGCGAUGAUCCGUA